rnacentral:lncRNA from 1 species
AGUCGCUGCAGUUCUGCUGCUGUGAGCUGAUUGGUUGGUCAGAGCGUUAGCGUUCUGCUGCUGUGAGCUGAUUGGUUGGUCAGAGCGUUAGAGUGGACAGUCUCCUCUGUAUACAGUCUGUGGUAAUGCCGCACGUGCACUGUAGUUACUUUGUUUUCUCCCCCUUCCGGCGGAAAUCCCAGCAUUUAAGGUGGAAUGGCGAGUUACGUAAAGAGCUGAGCAUCAACUUCAAGCUCAUACUUAUCUGAAAUAGAGUGCUACCUUAAAUGAAAACACACACACACACACACACACAUACACACGUGAGUAUGGAGUUCCCAGAGUUUCACAACAGAGUGAAAAUAACGUUACCUUUAAAUCUCCUCCUCCAGCUCCUCCAGCAGAUCUGCUGCCUUAGAGGAGAGUCCAGCUCUUCAGUCUGAGAGGCUGAGCUGCUGAACCGGAUCAGGAUCAGGAUUUGAAUAUGAACGCUCCGGAUGUGAGCGCUCUGCUGGAGGAGUGUCUGCGUUUGGCAGAAACACAGAGAACAGAACCGGACUCAGAAACCCACAGAACAAACCGAGCUGAUCUCUCGGCUGAGCUGAGGACUCUGCUGGGGGAGGCGGUGGAGAUGAGGUGGCCGUUUGUGGAGGAGAAAUGGCAGUACAAGAGUUCGGUUACGCCAGAAGAUAAAGUGAACACCAAGGACCUCGUCAGCCGCAACCUGCCCCAGCUAAUGGUAAUAAAAACCAGGGGGCGGGGCAUCACUUCUGUUAUCUGUACACUGUAAUUUUAUAUUCAGAUUCAGCAUCUGUUUGAAGAUAAAGCUCCGCCCUACAACAAAAAGAGCCAAUCAGAUUACCGGUUGUGCCGAGAGCAGAUGUGGAGAUCAGCGCAGGCGCAGUAGUCAGAACUAGCACAGAAAAAUCAUGUUUUUUGUAAAUUAUGGAACCA